CGCAGAUUGCAUAGUCUUAGCUCAAAAGCCAGACAAAUCUUGUUGAUUUCAAAGAGCCAUGGCUGAGUGGCCAGCAAUGAAAAAGACAGGCCUAUAUCACAUUGCUGUUUGACAAAACAACCCAAAGUCCAAGCUCCUAUUAAAAUGGUUCUAAUUAAUUCUCUGCCAAUCAUCCUUGGCUUUUGUCAAAGGGAAGGAUGUGUUGUACUGAGGACACAUACUGAUACAUGAACCCGAUUCCCUGUGAUUUUACACAAGACAAAAUGAUCCCUUACUGCUUCUCACCGCCAGUACAACAAAUUGAUCCCUAUCUUAAAUCCUACAAAAAGCAACUAUUUUUUUCACAUUCUUCAACAAAAUCGUGCCCAAGAUCUUUCUUUUGGCUCAGUUGUUAAAUUCUUUCAUGUAUGCUGUAUCAACAUGCAAAGUUAAAAGUACAAUAAGCAAAACAAUUCUUUAUUAUGGCAAUUAUCUUACGAGUCAGUCAGGUGGUCCUGGAUAAUUAUUACCAGUACGUAAACGUGGCACACAAAUUGCAUCUGGAAAAGUAAAACCCAUCUCAAAAAACCUGAGGGCCUCCUGAAUUUAUUUUAACAAGGUAAAUAUUGAAACUGAACUCUCUUCUUUUGAAACGUGAUUUUUUUUCCUUCAGUAAAUAUAACACUAUCAUAUGAAAACAGCUGUCAAUAUUGUGUUUGAGUUUUAUGACAAUCUUCGUAAGGAUUAUCUUUUUAUGGGACUGGGGUCGUCUUUCCUGGAGGCCAUAUAGAUUGGGCUCCCUGGAGUCCAAGAAGUGAAUAGUUCUCGACAAUUGGUGUAAGACCCACCUCAAUACACACAGAAAACUGAAUAUCAUAGAUCAUAUGGCACGGAUUAAAGCUUUGUUUAUUUACCUCAACUAGCUUCUUAAAUUUUAAACAGAGCUCAAUAAAGAAUGGUUCAUGUUUUACCUAUAUUCUUGGUCAGUACACUUUUCUCAACGUUUUCACAAUAAAUAUUUCAAGGUCACUGAAAGCAGCAUCUACCGGUACUUGAAUAUAUAAAUCAUCUGGCUAAUCGGCCAACCAACAGAAACAUGACCUAUUACACCUGAAAAUUCAGAAAGAAUGGGAUGCUGAGGGUCAAAUGUGUGUACUAAGGUUCCAAUAUGGCUGCUCAAAAUGCUUGAAAAUUGCAAGAUAGACCAAUCUGAUUAAAAAUCAGAUCCUCGAUCCGCUCCUUAUUAUUUUAUUGUCACUUCAUGUUAGUGUAGCAAAAAUAAAAAAUAAGGAGUGGCUCAAAGGAUCUGAUUUUAAUCAAAUUGCAAGAUAGACUAGCCAUAUAUUGGUGUUCAACUCAGUGAAUAAUCUAUCUGAAUUCUUUAGGAUCUCUACUGCCAAAAUCUACCACAAGGAAGAUAUUACACACCUUUUUGACUUCUACACAACAAGAAAAAAAAUCAAAAUUCCUCUCCAUGGAUUCCUCCUUCAAAAAGUAUUUUUACAAGUCAUGUGACUGGCCUUGACCUUGGUUAUACAUCCCUGGUUCAUGGUCAUGAGACAUUGUUACAGAGUGCACAUAAGACAGACAGAUGGAUGGACAGUUAAGUCUGCCAAAUACAUGAAACCUAUUACAUCUGUGUGAUUCAUAUCAGAAACCAACAUUCAGCUCUACAGUUGACUCUGCAAGAAAUUGAAUUAUGGUAAUGUUCAUACAUCUAUUCCUAUUCUGAAUAUAUUAUAGCAGUCCAUUUAAAAUUUCAAUCAUUUUAUACCACGGAUCAGUCGUCCGUAAGUCGGGCUGAUUACCUGAAGGAGGAAACUUGAUGAAAUUAUUUGACAAUCUUAUCUUCCUGCUAAGUUGUAAAUACUUCCCAAUGCAGUCCCUUUAUUAUCCUGGGGCUACCUACACAGGUACACACAGGUACGCUCUCUACCUGAAUGAUGUGGACCCAAUCAUAUUGAAGUGGCUUGGCUUUUUAUUUUUUAUGAUGGAUUGCUUGUAAAACAUUCCUCAAACGGACCUAUAUCGGUCAUAUAAGACUGACAGCUCAAAGGCAGUUUCAUCUGAUCUACCAUCAAUUUAUUACAAGCAACAAAAAAUACAUGCUAGAGACAACAAGACGAGCCUGCAAAGGAUAAACAGGACUGAGUCAUUCGGGAACAGAUAAAGUAUGCCUCAUCCGCACCCAUACAGAGCCUGUCCCACGUGAAGGGAAAGAAAGAUCCUUACCUGCCUGCCGUCUGUGUAUCCCCACAUGUAAAAAAGAAAACAUAUUAUUAGCCUUGCUUCUGACCGCCGAUAUAGUUCAUAGUGAUGUUAAUAUGACUGCAUGUUUGUUCGAUAUUCAAAUAAAGAAAGCUGUAUACAAACCU